UUCCAUCUCUUUCCCCUUUAAUCAUUCUCUUUCCCCUCUUUAAUCCUUCUCCUUCCGUCGAUUUCUCCAUCUCUUUCUUGCAUUACUGAUUCACUUUCUUCUCCCCUCAUCUCACCGAUCCAUACUCUUUUUUGUCUGUCUUCUCCAUAGUUCAAUCGAUUUGAAGGGGUUUCAGUUUUUGUAAUGCCUUACUGCUCGGAUUAGCCAUUGACCCUACAUUUCGGUUGUUCAAUGAGAUGUUGAUGCUACACGAUCGUCGCCUAAGUUGAUCCGAGAAUGUGGCUUACGGUUUAUUGUCACUACAAGAAAUUGGGACUUUUCCAAUGUAAAAAAGGACGUCGGCACAAAAGACGUCGGCAUAAAGAACGUCAGGAAUAAGGGUAUUCCCAAUGCUGGACAAACGCGUUGUGAAAGCAGCGUCGAAGAAAAUCCUAUUCCCAACGCCAUGCACAAUGCGUCAGGAUUGGUAUCGAGAAAAAGGGUAUUCCCGAUGCGUCAAACAUGCGUCGGCCAAACGGCAUCGGAAAUAAGGCCAAAUUAAAUUUAAAAUACACCUUAUCCCCGACGUCAUGCACAGUGCGUCGGGAACGGCGUCGGGAAUAAGGGAUUUUUUCGACGCACUAUUGCGCAUCGAGAAAACCUUUUAAUGAGCGUUGGGGAUACCCUUAUUCCCGAUGCCGUAAAGGGGAUCUCCAGACGUUUUCGUUCUGCAUCGGGAGAUCCCUUUAUAAACCUUUCAGUUCUGUUUUACACAGAAUUAAAAACGAAAGGGAAAGGGUGAGAGAAACAAAGAUUUGUCGCCAUCCGUAGCUCGCCACCGUCCGUUUCGUCGUCGUUGUCGUCCCUUGCCGUUUCGUCACCGUCUGCCACCUUAGUAAUGAACAAGUUGCUAACUCAUCGAUGGAUUCAAUUAAGACAUUGGCUACAUUUCCACAGAGGAUGGAAAUCAUCAUCCCAUCGAAUAAAACAGAAGCAACACACCUAGAGACUGUAGCUUCAACAUGUUCAUCUCUGGGAAGAGUUCGAGUCAUGGCAUUGGUAGUGAAGUUAUUUUCAGUUUCUAGUUCUGUGGCAUCGACAGUAUACAAUGCAAAUUUACUAAGCCUACUGGAAAGUGAAAUCAAUAACCUACAGCCAUUACUAAACGUUUUUUUGUAUUAUGAG